rnacentral:tRNA from 1 species
GGUAUAGCCAAGUGGUAAGGCACGGGACUUUGACUCCCGCAUUCGUAGGUUCAAAUCCUGCUACC